UUGCAACGCUGUCCGCAGAGGGAGAGAAAGAAGCCCCUCGUGUACGCGCGAAGAGGAUGCUGGCCGUGACAA